rnacentral:rRNA from 1 species
GACGAACCGUCCAAACGUUAUUCGGAAUCACUGGGCUUACAGAGUUCGUAGGCGGUCUGGAAAGUUGGGUGUGAAAUCCCUCGGCUCAACCGAGGAACUGCGCUUGAAACUACCAGACUCGAGGGAGAUAGAGGAAAGCGGAACUGAUGGUGGAGCGGUGAAAUGCGUUGAUAUCAUCAGGAACACCGGUGGCGAAGGCGCUUUCUGGGUCUUACCUGACGCUGAGGAACGAAAGCUAGGGGAGCGAACGGG